rnacentral:rRNA from 1 species
GACGGAGGAUGCAAGCGUUAUCCGGAAUGAUUGGGCGUAAAGCGUCCGCAGGUGGCAGUUCAAGUCUGCUGUCAAAGACCGGGGCUUAACUUCGGAAAGGCAGUGGAAACUGAACAGCUAGAGUAUGGUAGGGGCAGAGGGAAUUCCUGGUGUAGCGGUGAAAUGCGUAGAUAUCAAGUGGAACACCAGUGGCGAAGGCGAGUCCCUGGACAACUCCUGACACUGAGGCACGAAAGCUAGGGGAGCAAACAGG